GUUUCUUCUCUGAACUUAAGUCAUUGAUAUUAGUGUGGUAUUUGUUUUUAUUAGUUUAUUAUCUGAUGUGUUUUUUAUGAGGUUGUUUUAUCAGACAGAUUUUUAGAGCAGGGAGUUGGAAUUGGGGCUUGCUUCUUCUGCUCCACACAUCAGCCUGGUAUUGCAGUACUGCCAGGAAUAGUGCCCUUAUU